ensembl:rRNA 5S_rRNA 5S ribosomal RNA
GCUUAUGGCCAUACCAAUUUGGCUAUGCCCGAUAUUGUCUGAUCUCGGAAGCUAAGCAGGUUUGGGCCUGGUUAGUACUUGGAUGGGAGACCGCCAGGGAAUACCAGGUGCUUUAAGCU